AUCGCUUCUCGGCCUUUUGGCUAAGAUCAAGUCUGUUCUUAUCAGUUUAAUAUCUGAUACGUCCCUUAUCUAGGGACCAUAUAAAUAGGGAAGAACAUUUUUUUGACUUGCCAUUACGGCACUGAAUGGGGCUCCACUGGAGCGGGCGGCUGUUCGGAGGAACUCUAUUGAGGCUCCAGAAAAGAGCUCCU